UGCAUGCACGUGCACAUUUACAUAUGCACACACGCACGUGUGCACGUGUAUGUGACUGUACAUGUGUAUGUGUGCACGCGUCUGCAUGUGUGCAUGUGUACACAUGUGUGCAGAUACAGGUGUACAUGCAUGCAUUUAUAUAUGUGUGUACAUGUGUACAUACAUAUGCAUGCA
rnacentral:snRNA from 1 species